rnacentral:misc_RNA from 1 species
GAUGAAGAACGCAGCGAAAUGCGAUAAGUAAUGUGAAUUGCAGAAUUCAGAGAAUCAUCGAAUCUUUGAACGCACAUUGCGCCCGCCAGUAUUCUGGCGAGCAUGCCUGUUCGAGCGUCAUUUCAACCAUCAAGCCCCAGGCUUGUGUUGGAGCCCUGCGGCUGCCGCAGCCUCCCAAAACCAGUGGCGGGCUCGCUAUCACACCGAGUGCAGUAGUUUACUCUUCGCUCAGGGCGUGUGGCGGGUGCUAGCCGUGAAACCCCCAACUUCUCAAGGUUGACCUCGGAUCAGGUAGGAAUACCCGCUGAACUUAAGCAUAUCAAUAAGCGGAGGA